rnacentral:rRNA from 1 species
GGGUUAAGUCCCGUAACGAACGCGCAACCCUUGUCCUUAGUUACCAGCACGUUAUGGUGGGGCACUCUAAGGAAGACUGCCGGUGACAAACCGGAGGAAGGUAGGGGAGUGACGUCAAGUACAUCAUGGCCCUUACGGCCUGGGCUACACACGUGCUACAAUGGUCGGUACAAAGGGUUGCCAAGCCGCGAGGUGGAGCUAAUCCCAUAAAACCGAUCGUAGUCCGGAUCGCAGUCUGCAACUCGACUGCGUGAAGUCGGAAUCGCUAGUAAUCGUGAAUCAGAAUGUCACGGUGAAUACGUUCCCGGGCCUU